AGCAAUGAUGAGUGAAGUAUAGUCUGAACUGGUAUUGCUGGGACUGUGUCUUUGCUCUGACCAGGGCAUGAUCACGUAAUCUUCUCUCUGAGCUG
rfam:Picoides pubescens contig4153, whole genome shotgun sequence.